rnacentral:rRNA from 1 species
UACGAAGGGUGCAAGCGUUACUCGGAAUUACUGGGCGUAAAGCGUGCGUAGGUGGUUUGUUAAGUCUGCUGUGAAAGCCCCGGGCUCAACCUGGGAAUUGCAUUCGAGACUGCGUGGCUAGGGUGCGGAAGAGGGAAGCGGAAUUUCCGGUGUAGCGGUGAAAUGCGUAGAUAUCGGAAGGAACACCAGUGGCGAAAGCGGCUUCCUGGUCCAGCACCGACGUCAGGCACGAAAGCGUGGGGAGCAAACAGG